rnacentral:rRNA from 1 species
UACGGGGGGGGCAAGCGUUGUUCGGAAUUACUGGGCGGAAAGAGCUCGUAGGUGGUUUGUCGCGUUGUUCGUGAAAACUCACAGCUCAACUGUGGGCGUGCGGGCGAUACGGGCAGACUGGAGUACUGCAGGGGAGACUGGAAUUCCUGGUGUAGCGGUGGAAUGCGCAGAUAUCAGGAGGAACACCGGUGGCGAAGGCGGGUCUCUGGGCAGUAACUGACGCUGAGGAGCGAAAGCGUGGGGAGCAAACAGG